rnacentral:rRNA from 1 species
CAUGGUGGUAACGGGUAACGGGGUGUUAGGGCACGACACCGGAGAGGGAGCCUGAGAAACGGCUACCACAUCCAAGGAUGGCAGCAGGCGCGCAAAUUACCCAAUCCCGACACGGGGAGGUAGUGACAAUAAAUAACAAUACGGGGUUCUUUAGGANNNNNUAAUUGGAAUGAGUACAAUUUAAAUCUCUUAACGAGGAACAAUUGGAGGGCAAGUCUGGUGCCAGCAGCCGCGGUAAUUCCAGCUCCAAUAGCGUAUAUUAAAGUUGUUGCAGUUAAAAAGCUCGUAGUUGAAUUUCGGGGUUAGUAGGUUGGUCAUGCCUCUGGUAUGUACUGGUCUCACUGAUUCCUCCUUCCUUAUGAACCGUAAUGCCAUUAAUUUGGUGUUGCGGGGAAUUUGGACUGUUACUUUGAAAAAAUUAGAGUGUUUAAAGCAAGCUAACGCUUGAAUACAUUAGCAUGGAAUAAUGAAAUAGGACGUUCGAUCUUAUUUUGUUGGUUUCUAGGAUUGACGUAAUGAUUAAUAGGGAUAGUUGGGGGCAUUAGUAUUCAAUUGUCAGAGGUGAAAUUCUUGGAUUUAUUGAAGACUAACUACUGCGAAAGCAUUUGCCAAGGAUGUUUUCAUUAAUCAAGAACGAAAGUUAGGGGAUCGAAGACGAUCAGAUACCGUCGUAGUCUUAACCAUAAACUAUGCCGACUAGGGAUCGGA